rnacentral:rRNA from 1 species
CCUACGGGUGGCAGCAGUGAGGAAUAUUGGUCAAUGGGCGAGAGCCUGAACCAGCCAAGUCGCGUGAAGGAUGACGGCCCUACGGGUUGUCACCUUCUUUUGUCAGGGAGCAAUUGGGUCCACGCGUGGGCUUAGCGAGAGUACCUGAAGAAAAAGCAUCGGCUAACUACGUGCCAGCAGCCGCGGUAAUACGUAGUGAGCGAGCGUUAUCCGGAAUUAUUGGGCGUACAGGGUGCGUAGAUGGCAUAGUAAGUCUUUUGUAAACAUGCUGGGCUCAACCCAGUAGGGCAAAAGAUACUGCAAAGCGAGAGGAUGACAGAGGCAAGUGGAACUACAUGUGUAGCGGUAAAAUGCGUAAAUAUAUGUAAGAACACCAGGGGCGAAGGCGGCUUGCUGGGUCGAUACUGACAUGGAGGCACGAAAGCGUGGGGAGCAAACAGGAUUAGAUACCCCGGUAGUC